rnacentral:rRNA from 1 species
AUGAACGCUGGCGGCGUGCCUAAUACCUGCAGGUCGAGCGAACGGACGAGAAGCUUGCUUCUCUGAUGUUAGCGGCGGACGGGUGAGUAACACGUGGAUAACCUACCUAUAAGACUGGGAUAACUUCGGGAAACCGGAGCUAAUACCGGAUAAUAUUUUGAACCGCAUGGUUCAAAAGUGAAAGACGGUCUUGCUGUCACUUAUAGAUGGAUCCGCGCUGCAUUAGCUAGUUGGUAAGGUAACGGCUUACCAAGGCAACGAUGCAUAGCCGACCUGAGAGGGUGGCCGGCCACACGGGACCGGAGACCGGGCCCAGCCCCAGACGGGAGGAACCAGAAGGAAAUCUCCCGGAGGGGGCGAAAGCCUGCGGGAGCACCGCGGGGUGGUUGAUAAAGGUCUUCGGAUCGAAAACCUUUUUUAUUGGGGAAAAAAAUUUGUGUAAGUAACUGUGCACUUCUGGACGGUACCUAACAAAAAAGCCACGGCUAACUACGUG